rnacentral:rRNA from 1 species
AACGAACGCUGGCGGCAGGCUUAACACAUGCAAGUCGAACGGAUCCUUCGGGAUUAGUGGCGCACGGGUGAGUAACACGUGGGAACGUACCCCUUGGUAAGGAAUAAUAUCUGGAAACGGAUACUAAUACCUUAUAAUGACUUCGGUCCAAAGAUUUAUCGCCAAGGGAUCGGCCCGCGUUAGAUUAGGUAGUUGGUGGGGUAAUGGCCUACCAAGCCUACGAUCUAUAGCUGGUCUGAGAGGAUGAUCAGCCACACUGGGACUGAGACACGGCCCAGACUCCUACGGGAGGCAGCAGUGAGGAAUAUUGGACAAUGGAGGAAACUCUGAUCCAGCCAUGCCGCGUGAGUGAAGAAGGCCUUAGGGUUGUAAAGCUCUUUCAAUAGUGAAGAUAAUGACGGUAGCUAUAGAAGAAGCCCCGGCUAACUACGUGCCAGCCGCCGCAGUAAAAC